rnacentral:rRNA from 1 species
UACAGAGGUCUCAAGCGUUGUUCGGAUUCAUUGGGCGUAAAGGGUGUGUAGGUGGCGCGUUAAGUCGGGUGUGAAAUUUCGGAGCUUAACUCCGAAACUGCAUUCGAUACUGGCGUGCUUGAGGACUGGAGAGGAGACUGGAAUUCAUGGUGUAGCAGUGAAAUGCGUAGAGAUCAUGAGGAAGACCAGUGGCGAAGGCGGGUCUCUGGACAGUUCCUGACACUGAGACACGAAGGCCAGGGGAGCAAACGGG